GAUGAACGCUAGCGAUAGGCUUAACACAUGCAAGUCGAGGGGCAGCACAUGAGUGGCAACACGAUGGUGGCGACCGGCGCACGGGUGAGUAACACGUAUGCAACCUGCCCAUAACUGGGGGAUAACCCGUCGAAAGGCGGACUAAUACCGCCUGACAACGAUGAGCCGCAUGGUGAUUCGUUUAAAGAUUUAUCGGUUAUGGAUGGGCAUGCGUUCCAUUAGGUAGUUGGCAGGGUAACGGCCUACCAAGCCUACGAUGGAUAGGGGUUCUGAGAGGAAGGUCCCCCACACUGGUACUGAGACACGGACCAGACUCCUACGGGAGGCAGCAGUGAGGAAUAUUGGUCAAUGGGCGAGAGCCUGAACCAGCCAAAUCGCGUGAAGGAUGAAGGUAUUAUGUAUUGUAAACUUCUUUUGUCGGGGAAUAAAGUGCAGCACGUGUGCUGUUUUGUAUGUACCCGAAGAAUAAGGAUCGGCUAACUCCGUGCCAGCAGCCGCUGUAAAAC
rnacentral:rRNA from 1 species